CUUGAAUUUAACCUCGAUGAUCGCUAGGGGCGCUGCUUUGUCAACACACUAAGUGCGCGGAAUAUGGCGGAUCCAAAACUGAAUGCCGUGUAGGACAAUAUUCCGACAGAGUGUGAACUACCCUCAAGCCUCCUCUAAAGGAAACGAAUAUAUUUUCCUUCGGAGAGUGUCAGAAAUACAUUGAUGUAUAUGGCGUCACUGAAGAUAGAACGUGUGUGGAGCAGCCGACAACGAAGACCGAGCAACAUAUCUUAUAUGACAUGUCAUCAAGUCGGCGCAUUCCGGUCUCUGCAAAACCCAAGGAUAUACUUAAAGUGGUAACAGGAGGAAAAUCAAUCAAACCAAGUGAAAGUACAAGACACUAUUACAAAAGGAAAGCAAAGGAGUCCAUAAAUUCAAUGUUGAACAUCAAGACAGUCUAAAAUAUUGAAUCCAAACAAAAUAUCAAAACUCUAUGAAGAAAUAAAUGACAAAUUGUCAAAUAAACAUGAAAGCAUUCUUA